rnacentral:lncRNA from 1 species
UUAUAUGUGUGCAUUGCUUGCACAGGCUGUGCUCAGGGAAGUGUGUUUAUAUGUGUGCAUUGCUUGCAUAGGCUGUGCUCAGGUGUGUGUGUGUUUAUAUGUGUGCAUUGCUUGCACAGGCUGUGCUCAGGGAAGUGUGUUUAUAUGUGUGCAUUAUUUGCACCAGCUGGGCUCAGGCAUGUUUGUGUUUAUAUGUGUGCAUUAUUUGCACCAGCUGGGCUCAGGCAUGUGUGUGUUUAUAUGUGUGCAUUAUUUGCACAGUCUGUGCUCAUGUGUGUAUAUGCAUUUAUAAGUGUGCAUUGCUUGCACAGGCUUGCUGAGGCAUGUGUGCAUUUAUAUGUGUGCAUUGCUUGAACAGGCUGUGUUCAGGUGUGUGUGUGCAUUUAUAUGUGUGCAUUGUUUGCACAGGCUGUGCUCAGGCUUGUGUGUGUUUUUAUGUGUGCAUUGCUUGCACAGGCUAUGCUCAGGCAAUUGUGUUUAUAUGUGUGCAUUGCUUGCACAGGCUGUGCUCAGGCAGUGUGUGUGUGUUUAUAUAUGUGCAUUGUUUGCACAGGCAUGUGUGCUUAUAUGUGUGCAUUGCUUGCACAGGCUGUGCUCAGGUGUGUGUGUGUUUAUAUGUGUACAUUGCUUGCAUAAGCUGUGCUCAGGAGUGUGUGUUUAUAUGUGUGCAUUAUUUGCACAGGCUGUGCUCAUGCAUGUGUGUGUUUAUAUGCGUGUAUUGUUUGCACAGGCUGUGCUCAGGCGUGUGUGCAUUUAUAUGUGUGCAUUGCUUGCACAGGCUGUGCUCAGGCAGUGUGUGUGUGUUUAUAUGUGUGCAUUGCUUGCACAGGCUGUGCUCAGGCAUGUGUGUGUUUAUAUGUGUGCAUUGCUUGCACAGGCUGUGCUCAGGCAGUGUGUGUGUGUUUAUAUAUGUGCAUUGUUUGCAAAGGUGUGUGUGCUUAUAUGCGUGCAUUGCUUGCACAGGCUGUGCUCAGGCAAGUGUGUGCUUAUAUGUGUGCAUUGCUUGCACAGGCUGUGCUGAGGCAUGUGUGCGUUUAUAUGUGCGAAUUGUUUGCACAGGCUUUUCUACAGGGAAGUGGCUGAUGGCGGGAAUAGGAAUCCAGUCAGGAAGCUGUAUGUAUU